AGGGAAUAGGUUUCCAUUCGGGACAUGAAAAUUGACUGCGGCUACACAGACAAAGAAGCAGAAGCAGAAGAGGUCCGUUAUAGAAAUAGAUUUAAAGGCAUGUCAUUCAGCUCAGUUCAGCUGUAAAGGUUUGGAGCAGAAAGAAGCAGAAGAGGUCCGUUAUAGAAAUAGAUUUGAAGGCAUGUCAUUCAGCUCAGUUCAGCUGUAAAGGUUUGGAGCAGAAAGAAGCAGAAGAGGUCCCUUAUAGAAAUAGAUUUGAAGGCAUGUCAUUCAGCUCAGUUCAGCUGUAAAGGUUUGGAGCAGAAAG